rnacentral:lncRNA from 1 species
GAGGAGGGGCUGCCAAGAGCGGGCCGAGGGGAGAGCCAGGAGCUGGGGUUAGGCGGCGGCUGGCCGCAGCUGCUGGUUUUUCAGCAUCAUGUAAUUAAGUUCUGCAUAAAGCUGACGAGCACAUAAGGAAACCUAUAUCUGAUAAAAGUAUCACAUGAAAUGGAUGAAUUUGGAGGAACAUCUGGACAUGCAAGGAUAAGAUUAUGUAUAAACCAUCAGACUUUGGAUGUAUCUUGGUUAAAUUCUAGCCUACAAGAGACAUUAUUACCAGGAAAACCAUGGAAUAAGGUUUUAGACAAACUUGGAGCUGCUCUUGCUGAUGACAUGAAGCACCAACUAAGAAAUCCUAAACAAUGACAAAUGAUUUUCUGUCUUCUUGGCCAGCAUUUUGUUAAAAAAUAUUUUAAUGAGUGUCCUAAUCAACCUAGUCUACUAGUUAGUGAGUUAUGGGAGCUUUGAGCCUACAGCAGCAUAAUGUGAACAUGUACAGAUCUGUUUUUGUCAUAAAAGUAAAGUGGGUUAUUUUGUUCUCAGUUAUAAAUUGUAUUUUAAAUUUUUUCAGUAUACUUAAUUGAUCUGAAAUAAGAUUAAAAUGUUAUAUUUAAAAUGUUACCUUGUAUCUAACAGGCUUUCAAGUAUUUUUUCCUCCUCUCAGGAAACUUGAAAAGAAAACAAGAUAAUGGGUAUAUAUGAGGGUUUUCUCAAUUGGAG